rnacentral:rRNA from 1 species
UUCCAGACUCCUACGGGAGGCAGCAGUGAGGAAUAUUGGUCAAUGGCCGAGAGGCUGAACCAGCCAAGUCGCGUGAGGGAUGACGGCCCUACGGGUUGUAAACCUCUUUUGCCGGGGAGCAAAGAGCGGGACGCGUCCCGCCUCGAGAGUACCCGGAGAAAAAGCAUCGGCUAACUCCGUGCCAGCAGCCGCGGUAAUACGGAGGAUGCGAGCGUUAUCCGGAUUUAUUGGGUUUAAAGGGUGCGCAGGCGGGCUGUUAAGUCAGCGGUCAAAUGUCGGGGCUCAACCCCGGCCUGCCGUUGAAACUGGCGGCCUCGAGUGGGCGAGAAGUAUGCGGAAUGCGUGGUGUAGCGGUGAAAUGCAUAGAUAUCACGCAGAACUCCGAUUGCGGAGGCAGCAUACCGGCGCCCUACUGACGCUGAGGCACGAAAGCGUGGGUAUCGAACAGGAUUAGAACCCGCGUA